CACUUCUAAGGAAGGCAGCAGGCGCGCAAAUUACCCAAUCCUGACUCAGGGAGGUAGUGACAAGAAAUAACAAUAAACCGGCUUAUGCCGGUUUAAUUGGAAUGAGUACAAUUUAAACAUCUUAACGAGGAACAAUUGGAGGGCAAGUCUGGUGCCAGCAGCCGCGGUAAUUCCAGCUCCAAUAGCGUAUACUAAAGUUGUUGCAGUUAAAAAGCUCGUAGUUGGAUUUCUGUGGGGACGGAGCGGCCGGCCGCACAUCGCGGUUCGAGCUAGCGCUUUCCCUACAUCCUGCCGCGAACCGUGCUACCAUUAGUUUGGUGGCGCUGGGGAUCGGCUCGAUUACUUUGAGAAAAAUAGAGUGUUCAAAGCAGGCCACACGCCUUGAAUAAGUUAGCAUGGAAUAAUAACUAAGGACUUCGGUUCUAUUUUGUUGGUGUUCGGGACUGAAGUAAUGAUUGAUAGGGACAGUUGGGGCGGUCUGUAUUCCAAAGCGAGAGGUGAAAUUCUUAGACCUUCGGAAGACAAACAGCUGCGAAAGCGUUCCGCAAGGAUGUUCCCUUUGAUCAAGAACGAAAGUUGGGGGAUCGAAGACGAUCAGAUACCGUCGUAGUCUCAACUAUAAACUAUACCAGCUAGGGAUCGGCCAACGUUAUUCUAUACCGACUUGGUCGGCACCUUAUGAGAAAUCAAAGCAUCUGGGUUCCGGGGGGAGUAUGGUCGCAAGGCUGAAACUUAAAGGAAUUGACGGAAGGGCACCACCAGCCGUGGAGCCUGUGGCUUAAUUUGACUCAACACGGGAAAACUUACCAGGUCCAGACAUAGUAAGGAUUGACAGAUUGAUAGCUCUUUCUUGAUUCUGUGGGUGGUGGUGCAUGGCCGUUCUUAGUUGGUGGAGUGAUUUGUCUGGUUAAUUCCGUUAACGAACGAGACCCCAGCCUGCUAAAUAGCGCGCGUGAGCUUUGCUCGCGGCGAGCUUCUUAGAGGGACUCUGAUGCGCGAUAGCACAUGGAAGUUUGGGGCAAUAACAGGUCUGUGAUGCCCUUAGAUGUUCUGGGCCGCACACGGGCUACACUGGCGCCUGCAACGAGCAUAUCAGCUGGCCCGAGAGGGUCUUGGCUAAUCUUUUGAACCGGCGCCGUGCUUGGGAUUGACCUUUGCAAUUGUUGGUCAUGCAACGAGGAAUGCCUUGUAAACGCGAGUCAUCAGCUCGCAUUGAAUACGUCCCUGCCCUUUGUACACACCGCCCGUCGCUCCUACCGAUGAAUGUUCCGAUGAAAUUUUCGGAGAGCACCUGUGAACUUGGCUCUGCCUUGCGAACGGGAGGCUCAAAGUCACUUAAAUCUGAACAUUUCGAGG
rnacentral:rRNA from 1 species